rnacentral:rRNA from 1 species
AAUCUGGCGGUCUUUGGCCGUCCGAGUUGUAACCUGGAGGAGCGCUUUCCGCGCCGGACCGUGUACAAGUCUCCUGGAACGGAGCGUCAUAGAGGGUGAGAAUCCCGUCCAUGACACGGACGCCCGGUGCUUUGUGAUUGCGCCCCCGAAGAGUCGCGUUGUUUGGGAAUGCGGCGCAAAAUGGGUGGUAAAUUCCAUCUAAAGCUAAAUAUUGGCGAGAGACCGAUAGCGAACAAGUACCGUGAGGGAAAGAUGAAAAGCACUUUGGAAAGAGAGUUAAACAGUACGUGAAAUUGUUGAAAGGGAAACGCUUGAAGUCAGUCGCGUCGCACGGAACUCAGCCUGGCCUUGGCCUGGGUGUACUUUCCGUGCGACGGGUCAACAUCAAUUUCGGGCGGCGGACAAUGGGGGAGGGGAGAUGUAGCGUCGUCUUCGGCGGCGUGUUAUAGCCCCCUUGUCGUAUACGCCGUGCGGGAUUGAGGACCGCAGCGCGCCCUUGUGGCCCGGGGUUCGCCCACGUCACGCGCUUAGGAUGUUGGCAUAAUGGCUUUAAGCGACCCGUCUUGAAACACGGACCAGGGAGUCUAACAUGCUUGCGAGUGUUCGGGUGGAAACCCUUGGCGCGGAAUGAAAGUGAAUGUUGGGGAGCUUCCGCGAGGGGGUGCCACGACGCCCGGCCCUGAAGUUCUCUGACGGUGCUGGCGGUAGAGCAGGUGUGUUGGGACCCGAAAGAUGGUGAACUAUGCCUGAAUAGGGCGAAGCCAGAG